rnacentral:rRNA from 1 species
GGUUCAGGAUGAACGCUAGCUACAGGCUUAACACAUGCAAGUCGAGGGGCAUCAGGAAGAAAGCUUGCUUUCUUUGCUGGCGACCGGCGCACGGGUGAGUAACACGUAUCCAACCUGCCCUUUACUCGGGGAUAGCCUUUCGAAAGAAAGAUUAAUACCCGAUAGCAUAAUGAUUCCGCAUGGUUUCAUUAUUAAAGGAUUCCGGUAAAGGAUGGGGAUGCGUUCCAUUAGGUUGUUGGUGAGGUAACGGCCCACCAAGCCUUCGAUGGAUAGGGGUUCUGAGAGGAAGGUCCCCCACAUUGGAACUGAGACACGGUCCAAACUCCUACGGGAGGCAGCAGUGAGGAAUAUUGGUCAAUGGGCGCUAGCCUGAACCAGCCAAGUAGCGUGAAGGAUGAAGGCUCUAUGGGUCGUAAACUUCUUUUAUAUAAGAAUAAAGUGCAGUAUGUAUACUGUUUUGUAUGUAUUAUAUGAAUAAGGAUCGGUUAACUCCGUGCCAGCAGCCGCGGUAAUACGGAGGAUCCGAGCGUUAUCCGGAUUUAUUGGGUUUAAAGGGAGCGUAGGUGGACUGGUAAGUCAGUUGUGAAAGUUUGCGGCUCAACCGUAAAAUUGCAGUUGAUACUGUCAGUCUUGAGUACAGUAGAGGUGGGCGGAAUUCGUGGUGUAGCGGUGAAAUGCUUAGAUAUCACGAAGAACUCCGAUUGCGAAGGCAGCUCACUGGACUGCAACUGACACUGAUGCUCGAAAGUGUGGGUAUCAAACAGGAUUAGAUACCCUGGUAGUCCACACAGUAAACGAUGAAUACUCGCUGUUUGCGAUAUACAGUAAGCGGCCAAGCGAAAGCAUUAAGUAUUCCACCUGGGGAGUACGCCGGCAACGGUGAAACUCAAAGGAAUUGACGGGGGCCCGCACAAGCGGAGGAACAUGUGGUUUAAUUCGAUGAUACGCGAGGAACCUUACCCGGGCUUAAAUUGCAGUGGAAUGAUGUGGAAACAUGUCAGUGAGCAAUCACCGCUGUGAAGGUGCUGCAUGGUUGUCGUCAGCUCGUGCCGUGAGGUGUCGGCUUAAGUGCCAUAACGAGCGCAACCCUUAUCUUUAGUUACUAACAGGUUAUGCUGAGGACUCUAGAGAGACUGCCGUCGUAAGAUGUGAGGAAGGUGGGGAUGACGUCAAAUCGGCACGGCCCUUACGUCCGGGGCUACACACGUGUUACAAUGGGGGGUACAGAAGGCAGCUAGCGGGUGACCGUAUGCUAAUCCCAAAAUCCUCUCUCAGUUCGGAUCGAAGUCUGCAACCCGACUUCGUGAAGCUGGAUUCGCUAGUAAUCGCGCAUCAGCCACGGCGCGGUGAAUACGUUCCCGGGCCUUGUACACACCGCCCGUCAAGCCAUGGGAGCCGGGGGUACCUGAAGUACGUAACCGCAAGGAUCGUCCUAGGGUAAAACU